AACGAACGCUGGCGGCAUGCCUAACACAUGCAAGUCGAACGAUUGCCUUCGGGUGAUAGUGGCGCACGGGUGCGUAACGCGUGGGAAUCUGCCCUUAGGUUCGGAAUAACAGCUGGAAACGGCUGCCAAUACCGGAUGAUAUCGCGAGAUCAAAGAUUUAUCGCCUGAGGAUGAGCCCGCGUUGGAUUAGGUAGUUGGUGGGGUAAAGGCCUACCAAGCCGACGAUCCAUAGCUGGUCUGAGAGGAUGAUCAGCCACACUGGGACUGAGACACGGCCCAGACUCCUACGGGAGGCAGCAGUGGGGAAUAUUGGACAAUGGGCGCAAGCCUGAUCCAGCAAUGCCGCGUGAGUGAUGAAGGCCCUAGGGUUGUAAAGCUCUUUUACCCGGGAAGAUAAUGACUGUACCGGGAGAAUAAGCCCCGGCUAACUCCGUG
rnacentral:rRNA from 1 species